AGCGAACGCUGGCGGCAGGCUUAACACAUGCAAGUCGAACGGGCACUUCGGUGCUAGUGGCAGACGGGUGAGUAACGCGUGGGAACGUGCCUUUCGGUUCGGAAUAAUCCCGGGAAACUUGGACUAAUACCGGAUCCGCCCUUCGGGGGAAAGAUUUAUCGCCGAAAGAUCGGCCCGCGUCUGAUUAGCUAGUUGGUGAGGUAAAGGGUCACCAAGGCGACGAUCAGUAGCGGGUCGGAGAGGAUGAUCAGCCACAUUGGGACUGAGACACGGCCCAAACUCCUACGGGAGGCAGCAGUGGGGAAUAUUGGACAAUGGGCGCAAGCCUGAUCCAGCCAUGCCGCGUGAGUGAUGAAGGCCUUAGGGUUGUAAAGCUCUUUCACCGAUGAAGAUAAUGACGGUAGUCGGAGAAGAAGCCCCGGCUAACUUCGUGCCAGCCGCCGCCGUAACAC
rnacentral:rRNA from 1 species